UGAGAGGUAAAGAUUAAGAAAAGUGGCUUAGGUAGAACACCCAGUAAUUCACAGGUGGUCAUCAAAUGUUCAUUUCCUUUUUUUUGUGAGCUUUUUCCUCUCUUCCUCCCAGGCCAUAUUUUUCUCCAGAGCACUUAUCACCAUAUAAGAGUAAGAGAUAAUUCAUUUCUCCAUUGUCUCCUUCCAUUAGCCUAUCGGUUCCGUGAGAACAGGAAUUUUUGUUUGUUUUAUGUCUAGCACCUUGAACAAUGCCUGGUGGACGGUUCAAAAAUAUUUUCAAAAUAUUUGUUGAACAGAUGAAUUUGUGAGAAUAUUGUUUUUCACACUGCAACCCUUCCUUUGGACACUGCUAUCUUUAAUUGACUUGUUUGCUCAGACUUCCAGGUCUUGAAUUAAUGAGGCUUUGGGAAAAUAUUUCUUUGUAGAGAGAUAUUUAAAAAGAUGACCAAACCUGUCUGCUGAGGAACUACCUGCUGAGUGAGCCAGUAGACUGACCCGCCGCCAGAGGGCAGCCGCUGGCUCUGGCCGGGUGUGGUGACCGGCCCCCACUCCGACCACCAUCUUGCAGACUGGGUAAUGGGUGGGGUAUCACGGUGGGGGAAAGUAGAAAAUUCUGGCAGGAGGCUGAUGUUUUUGUUUCCCUCUUUGCACUCACCUACAUAUCCGUUUUCCAGGAAGGUUUGUGGCUUUUGGGUGAGAAAAGUUUUUUGUGUUUUUGUUUUAAGUACACAGCCAAAAAAAAAAAAAAAAAAAAGAAAAAGAAAAAAAAGCAAAGGACAAAAAUUUCAGGCAGUCUCAGAACAAGAUUUAUAGUGGAGUCAGUGGAUCACCUGCCUCAGAAUAUCCUAAGAUGUUUGUGUUAAAUGUGAAUUUCUCGACUUCCUGAGUCUGAAGGAGGGUGACGGCUGGGAAUCUGUAUUUAUUUAGCAAGCUUCCAGGUGAUUCCGGCUCACUCUCAAGUUUGAGGACCGCCACACCUGGUUUGUUGCUGCAUCAAUCACCAGGACGGGGAUGUAAACAGCGCCCCCUGGAGUUAAACACGGAAGCCCUCCUUUCUGGUCACGGACCUAAAGCCAGGAACAGAGGGUGCAUGUGCCUGGUUGUUGGAUGCAUGGUGGAAACAGAGCAACGUUCUUGUGGAGAUCUGCCUACCUAUACCGGAGCAGGUGGGCAGUUCUAGGCUUCUCCGCCUCCAGUCAGUUUUCCAUCCCUCUACAUCCUCGGGCCAGUCUGGAUCAUGGCCCCA